GUGCUUGCUUCAGCAGCACAUAUACUAAAAUUGGAACAAUGCAGAGAUUAGCAUGUCUCCUGUGCAAGGAUGACACGCAAAGUCAUGAAGCAUUCCCUAUAAAA
rnacentral:snRNA from 1 species